CAUCUAUCAAGAGCGGUUGAGGGGCCCGGCCCUGUGAUGCCGCAGCAACCGAGCGGGAGUGAUCUCCCGGCAACGGUGCUAACGCCGGAUUCGAUGGAGG
rnacentral:ncRNA from 2 species